GGGUUGUGAGGUUAAGCGACUAAGCGUACACGGUGGAUGCCCUGGCAGUCAGAGGCGAUGAAGGACGUGCUAAUCUGCGAUAAGCGUCGGUAAGAUGAUAUGAACCGUUAUAACCGGCGAUUUCCGAAUGGGGAAACCCAGUGUGUUUCGACACACUAUCAUUAACUGAAUCCAUAGGUUAAUGAGGCGAACCGGGGGAACUGAAACAUCUAAGUACCCCGAGGAAAAGAAAUCAACCGAGAUUCCCCCAGUAGCGGCGAGCGAACGGGGAGCAGCCCAGAGCCUGAAUCAGUGUGUGUGUUAGUGGAAGCGUCUGGAAAGGCGCGCGAUACAGGGUGACAGCCCCGUACACAAAAAUGCACAUGCUGUGAGCUCGAUGAGUAGGGCGGGACACGUGGUAUCCUGUCUGAAUAUGGGGGGACCAUCCUCCAAGGCUAAAUACUCCUGACUGACCGAUAGUGAACCAGUACCGUGAGGGAAAGGCGAAAAGAACCCC
rnacentral:rRNA from 1 species